AGUGAACGCUGGCGGCGUGCCUAAUACAUGCAAGUCGAACGAGUGGCGCACGGGUGAGUAAUGUAUAGCUAAUCUGCCCUAAAAUAGAGGACAACAGUUGGAAACGACUGCUAAUACUCUAUACUGUAGGAUGUGGCUAUAUUGUAUCAUCUAGUUGGUGAGGUAUUGGCGCACCAAGGCUAUGACGCAUAACUGGUCUGAGAGGAUGAGCAGUCGCACUGGAACGGAGGCACGGUCCGGACACCUACGGGAAGCAGCAGUAGGGAAUAUUACUCAAUGGGGGAGACCCUGAAGCGGCAACGCCGCGUGGAGUAUGACACGUCGCGGAGCGUAAACUCCUUUUGUUAGGGAAGCGGUACCUAACGAAGAAGCACCGGCUAACUCCGUGCCAGCAGCCGCGGUAAUAC
rnacentral:rRNA from 1 species